rnacentral:lncRNA from 1 species
GAUUUUUGUGUGUUGGCUUGCAACUUUAUCAUGAUAAAUUGUGUAGUCACUGUUGGCUUGAGACUUUAUCAUGAAGGAAAGUUGUAUAGUCUUGUAUUCAAAAGUUUGCAUCUCUAACUCCUGCAUAUACUGAAUCGUAGACGUCGAAACUCCUGAAGUGGGAUUCGUGGAAUUCAGCUGGAGAUGGAUAGCGUCCGCGAAAUGUUGAAGUGCCUCUUUUACUAAAGGGGUUUUCCGAAGAACUAACCUUUGUUGAUCCCAGGCAAGCCCCGGUGCAUUUAUACCUAUCUAUUUUAGAGUUGUUAUUUCAUGUGUCCAACUAUUGGUUAAUUUCUAUACGAAUGCAUUAAGUCUAGGAAUUGUUUGAAACCCAUUUUUG